AAAUAAAUGCACCAAUUUCGGACAAAACAGCCGCUUUAUUGAUAAUUCAUUUGUUAAAAGAUAGGCGAUCGCUCAUUUAUGCAACAAAAAUUACUCCCAUUUUUUUAGUGUCAGAAAAAGAAAACCUCUAUAGAUUGAUUUUUGCUAAUUUAGUACCACCUGGGUUACAUUUACCGUUUUCCUCCCCAAAAGGAUAUUAGAAAACUGAGGUUUCAUUAAGCAUUUAGAAGGGUGCUCAGCUUGUCCUGCAGUGCAAUUGCAUUACCAACUGUGAGGGGCGUUUCACUUCAAUUCUCAAUGUAGCCACAAGAGGGCACUCUCAGUUUUUACAGCCAUGCAGUCAAUUUAGCAUCAACCCCACAUGAAAGCCUGUCAGUGAGGGAAUAAUCAGUUCAGCAAGCUGUUUGUUUACAUUUCUAUUUUAAUUAUUACUUCUUCCAGUCCACUAAAUUCAGCAUGGUUUGCAUGUUGCUGUUUUUUUUUAUUUAAAGACUCAUUCCCUUCAAAGUAUUUAAUCCUCUUUUUUAAUGAACUGAUAAAAAAACACCGACAAAACGAGAGCCUUGAGUUUCCUUAAAGAAAAUAAGAACACUGUUAAUCAGAGAGCGCAUUACAUUUUGCUAAAUGCUUCUCUGAAGGGAUGAAAUUCCUCAUGAGUUUCAUGAAAACAGCAAACACAAUUUCAAAUAAUUGUCAUGCGUAUGGAAAUGACACCAGGAAUUUAAUUCUGUUCUGUUUCUUUGUUUGUGAUCUGCAUCAUAAAGGCUUAGACCUUUACCUGAGGGCCGCAUGGGCCUGAAGCCCAGUAAUAUCUCAUGUUUAUGCUAAAAGGAGCAGUGAAUAUUGACCCACAUUUGCUAUAUAUGUAUUUCUGUUCAAAUAUAUAUAUGUAUAUGUAACAUAUAUAUGUAACGUUUGUUUCUUUUAUUUUCAUUGUCAAAUUUUCGUCUAUUUGAGUCUAGCUAUUUACUUUGAAAAAAGGUACAGGUACUCCGAAUAAAGACCGAGUAUUGUCGCAGUUUUUAAGCUUUCUUGUUUUGCUUGUAACUAAAAUCAGCCAGUAUUUUUUUUCUUGUUUUUAGAUUUUUUCUUCGUUUUUUAAAUUUACGCGCUCUACUCCAAUGUUUUAAAUACAAGUGAAUCUCUUGUUAUUUUCUUUAAAUUAUCACUGUUAAUAUUUCCACUGUUCACAAGACUAAUAAUGACAGCAAUGAUGUCAACGAGUGUACGUAUCCUUCGGACCAUUUGACUUAAAAAUAUAUUUUGGAUCAAUGUGAUGUAUAAAUUGUUGAUUUUGCCUGAAGAACAUACUGGCUUCCAAAUGAGUUUUUUUUUUAUUGUAUGUUAAA
ensembl:lncRNA